GUUUGAUCGGAUUCGUUGGUCGUGUAACAUUAAAUUGUAAAUUCAAUUAAAGCCGGUACACAUUUUUGAUGUAGCACACGUUGUAUUGCUGCAAUAUAUUUGCAGACCGUGGAGAAAAUUUGUUUGAAAUUAGCGAAAAUGUUAAGCCAUGUAGAUAAAUCUGUUUCUUGUGUUCUGAGUUAAUAAAAAUGUUAAGUGAAGUUACUAUGAAAAUGAUUGGAAAUAUUUACUUUGCAAAUGGUACAAUUUUUUGGACUGUAAAUCCAACGAAUCAAAACGAUCAAACUCAAAUUAAUUAUCCAAUAAUCAAAUCUGUGAAAUACAAGCCCCAAAUCAUUCAGUCACAAGCAAACAUCGAAAUUUACAUCAGCUAAGGACGAAAAAAACCAAGCCACGCAAAAAGACAAGCAAUACCCGAUAGUAAAAAGAUUUCGCGCCAUUUUGAAAAACUUCAAAUUCAAUACCAUCCGAAGUAAAUAAGGAAGCAUUGGUCGAUACAUAUACACUUCAUGUGAAAUUCGUCAUUAAAAUAUUGUUUGUUCACACAUAUCAUCAACUACAAAAAAAAAAAUAGUCGCGAAUCUUUUAAGAGAGAACAUUUGUAUAUCGACGAAGAACAAAAAUGAAGAGAAAACGCAAAAGUUUGACUCAAUCUUGUAUACAUGCAGUGCUGGAGAAUCAACUGGAGACAACUUUAUAUAUAAAAGACAACUUUCGGAGGGAUAUCAACAGGAGAACAUUCCACACACACAGACGCAUCCGUCGUUCCCCGCUAACCAAUACCAGCUCACACACAACCAGCAGAACGGCAACACAAAAAGGACGACACAAUUACAAUUUACGACGCGCUAACACGAAUAAGUAUCACUUUAUUUUACAUUGAAUUCAGACAUUGUUUAUAGUGAAAAUAAUUGAUAAGUUUUCCAAAUCAUUCGAAAAAAUUCAUUUAAAAUUUGCUUACUUUUUUCUUGAAACGAAGAUUUUCAAAUUUUUCUUAUUAUAAAGUUUCUGCCGACUCUCCAGUCCACUUUUGAAACUUUAUAGAAAGAACUUAAUGCUGACAUCAUUUUCAAAUUUCCUUUUAUUUUUUCGAUAUUGUAACGCGAUGAAAUUAAAUUAAAAAAAAAAUAUUUUUUCCAAAAAGAAUUUUCUUUAAAAAUUGAAAAUGCUUUGACAGUGUAACUUUUUCACAGGCGAUAACAAGUUUUUAUUAAUUUUCGGAAUUCCGUCAACUUCAUAUAUGAGUAUGGUAAUAAUUUCGUGGUAGUUCGAAUGAAAAUAUAUUUAAAUUUGGAACCAUAAUCUGAACAGAAGUAUAUAAAUCUGAGGGCCACCGAAAAAAAAUAAUCUUAAAUUGAAACCAUGGCCCCAAAUUUAAAUAUAAUUUCAUUCAAGAUAAAGGAAAAUGUGGUUAAAAAAAACCUUGCACUAAAACGAACAACAACAAAUUCAAAUUAGAAACAUUUUUAAAUUGUUAGUAAACCGAGAAUUCGAAUUCAAUUAAUUUUUUUGCGUAAAAUAAUUGACGAAAUUAAUUUGGGAAAUUCACAAUACAUUUUGAUGCGAAAUUGUUUUAUCACCAAAAAUUUUCAAUAGACCAGCCAUUCAAGCAUAUAAAUAAUUAAAACCCCACAAAAUGAUUAGAAGAUAAAUUUUAGAAUUUGUUUUAUUCGUACUUUUUAUCGAUAGUGAACAUGAUGAGCGCAAAAAUGCCUAACAGUGUCGACUGCACAGAUUUAAUACAUAUCCAAUGGAACCUUUUAAUUUCGCAUUAGUCAAAUCAUUUAAAUCUGAAUGCAUUUACGUAUAACUGAACAUGGAAUGAACCAAAAUGACAAACGAAAUUGACCAACAAAAAUUUAAAUGAAUAUUACACUGUAGGCUAAUUUUUACGCUCAUGAUCGGUUUCGAUGAAAAAUAGAAAAAAAUAAGAAAAAACACACUUUAUCGACUAAUCUCAUUUUGGCGUAACAAUCCUUCUGACACUGAAACCAAAAUCAUUCUCAAAAUAUUUCGACAAUUAUUUUCAUUAAAAUUAAUUAUUUUUAUCAAUUUAAUUCUUCUAAUCUACUAGGGUGAACCAGUUUGAAACGAAUUUCCAGUUUGAAAAUUUUGUUACAUUGUUUAAGAACGAUACCAACUCGUAUAUGAAAUCCUUUUAGAUUAGAUUGGAUUUUAUUGAACUGAAAAGCUAGAGCAACACUUUUUUUUUAGUUUUUUGUUUAUGAUUUUUUAUACAUUUUCGAUAUCAGCUGAAAUCUUAGAAACGACUAAUCUAAUUUUAAAUGAAUUAACAACAACAUUUUACAACAUUAUAAUAGGCUAUAAUGAACGGAGAUGAUUGAAAUUAUUAAUUUUAUUGUUAAGUUGACCUGCAAAAUAACGAGUAACCAAUUGUUAAAGAAAAAUUAUUUUAAUUUUCAGGUGUAGAAAAGUAAAGUACGAUUAUAGAAAAUUCGGCUUUAGCUCCAUUAACAUUUCGAUCUUUCAUAAAAAUAAGUUUCUCCAUAUCGGCAACCCAAUUCCAUUUCUACCAUUCCAAACAUUUCAAAGAGGAAAGAAGAGCAAUUCAAAUUUUACCAUUCUGGUUAACAAAUUUACAAACAAAGAAAUCGACGUCAGUAACAUGACUCUGUACGAUAUCAUCCUUGUUUAUUCUCAUUUUCGCAAACCAAAAUUCUCAUUCCGCAGAUUUCCCAAUUAGCAACGAACCAGCAAAACGGAUAAAUUUAUGUUGCAUCUCAAUUUGAUUUAUUUCUGAUAAAUAUUUUAUGAUUUUUUACAGUUGUAGCGAAGAAAUUAGUUAAAUUCACAAAGUUAAAACGCUAAUUAGGAAAGGAGUCAGAAGAAAGAUGCGAUCCAUACAUUUUCCAAAAAAUUUCCCAUAUAUUUUCGCAUGCGACGGGGGAGGGUGGUUUGAGAUUCGUAAUUUUUCGCGGACGCCCUCUGUAAAUGACCCCAAUUUUCCCUUUGUUUUUUUUUUAUUAUUAUUGACAAUUAACCAAACUAUAAAUCUGAAACGAAUUACGCUCUGUAAACAGUUACAACAUGACGGCAU